CAGUCGUACCGGCGGGUAAUCAGCCUUUCGGGUAUGAUUCUGUGGAGUGUGGGGAGCUAAACACCCUCAUGCCUGCAUAUUCGUGCUCUUGGGUGUACUUGCUCGUGUGGUUGGUUAACAUCAAUUUCGGAUGCCAUAAAAUGACUGGAGGAAUGUAGCUUCGAUCUCGUAUUGAAGUGUUAUAGCCUUCGGUAGAUGUGGUGAUCGGGAUUGAGGAUUGCAACGGAUACCCUUCGGGGCUACCUGUCUGAUCUCUGAUCGUUGCUCUGGUACCGAAAGCUUGCUUACGGUUAUCAAAGUCGAUGGUCAACAGGUUAGAACGGGUUAAAUUCGUUAAGGAUGUUGACGUAAUGGCUUUAAACGACCGUCUUGAAACACGGACCAAGGAGUCUAACAUAUAUGCGAGUGUUU
rnacentral:rRNA from 1 species